CGCGCAGGCGGUUGGAUAAGUCGAAUGUGAAAGCCCCCGGCUUAACUGGGGAGGGUCAUUCGAUACUGUUCAACUUGAAGGCAGGAGAGGGCAGCAGAAUCCCCGGUGUAGUGGUGAAAUGCGUAGAUAUCGGGAGGAAUACCAGUGGCGAAGGCGGCUGCCUGGCCUGUUCUUGACGCUGAGGCGCGAAAGCUGGGGGAGCAAACG
rnacentral:rRNA from 1 species